CACAAAUCACUUCCAUAUGCCUCAAAUCAAGCAUUUAAAACAUUACUCAAGUAUAUCUAUACUGGGAAAAUGAACUUAACUUCUCAAAAAUCAAGGACAAACUUUUGAUCAUGUAGGCUUAUUCCUCCCUGAGCCCGUCUUUGCCCAUGGACAACUAUAUGUGGCUCUUACUAGAUGUAAAUCUCAAAAUAAUAUGAAAAUUAUGAUUUUGCCAUCAGAAUUACAAGGAAAAAUUUUAAAAAAUGAUAAAACAUUCACACAAAAUAUCGUAUAUAAUGAAAUCUUAAAUUGAUAAUUUGUAAGAAAUUUAAAAAAGUCACCAACUUUGUUAUUCACCAUCAAAUCACCAACUUUACAUCAUCUUCAAAAACGAAACCACCUUGAGCCAAGAAAAGAGAACUUCUUCACCAUCGCUAAACCAUCUUCCUCACCAACAACAGUUAUUUAUGGCAAACUGCGAGCAAGGAAAUUACAUCAUCAUCUUUAAAAACGAAACCACAUUGAGCAAAGAAAAGAGAACUUCUUCACCAUCGCUAAACCAUCUUCCUCACCAACAACAGUUAUUUACGGCAAACUACGAGCAAGGAAAUUUCAACAUCUUCAAAAACGAAACCACAUUGAGCAAAGAAAAGAGAACUUAUAUUAUUCAUCAAUCAUUGAAUAAAAAAGACAAUUCAUCACUCUUAGUCUUAAUGGGUUGGAAUUGGCCUGAAGGAGGAGGGGGAAGGGUAAAGAGAAUUAUCGUAAAAGAACGAAUAAAAUUCUCAUCCCCGUCAUUUUUGACGGGUUAUCAACUAGUGUUAUUAUAAAAUUCAAAUUUAACGUUAUUUCAGUAGCGUCACUAUGGGGUAGGGCGUAGAGGCUAUAGCCACCUGAAAAAUCUGAAUAGCCCUCUAAAGCGUAAAAAAUUUCUUCUUAAUGAUUCCCUAAUAUACAUCUGAACUAAAAAUAAAUGUUUUGAUAGUCCACUCAAU